rnacentral:rRNA from 1 species
UACGGAGGGUGCAAGCGUUAUCCGGAUUCACUGGGUUUAAAGGGUGCGUAGGCGGGUAUGUAAGUCAGCGGUGAAAUCCCCGAGCUUAACUUGGGAACUGCCGUUGAUACUAUAUAUCUUGAAUGUCGUGGAGGUUAGCGGAAUAUGUCAUGUAGCGGUGAAAUGCUUAGAUAUGACAUAGAACACCCAUUGCGAAGGCAGCUAACUACGCGAAUAUUGACGCUGAGGCACGAAAGCGUGGGGAUCAAACGGG